rnacentral:rRNA from 1 species
UACGUAGGGUGCGAGCGUUAAUCGGAAUUACUGGGCGUAAAGUGUGCGCAGGCGGCGUUGCAAGUCGAGUGUGAAAUCCCUGGGCUUAACUUGGGAACUGCGUUUGAAACUACAAGGCUAGAGUGUGGCAGAGGGGGGUGGAAUUCCACGUGUAGCAGUGAAAUGCGUAGAGAUGUGGAGGAACACCGAUGGCGAAGGCAGCCCCCUGGGUUAACACUGACGCUCAGGCACGAAAGCGUGGGGAGCGAACAGG